rnacentral:rRNA from 1 species
GCAAGUCGAACGCGAAAGCAACCUUCGGGUUGUGAUUAGAGUGGCAGACGGGUGAGUAACAAAUAGGUAAUCUAUCUUUGAGAGUGGGACAACUAAUCGAAAGGUUAGCUAAUCCGGCAUAAUAUCUAUUAUUUUAAGAUAGUAGAUCAAAGGGUGGGACCCUUCGGGGCCACUCGCUUAAAGCGGAGCCUAUUUCCUAUUAGUUAGUUGGUGGGGUAAUGGCCUACCAAGACGAUGAUGGGUAGCCGAGCUGAGAGGCUGACC